AUGACUCUCAUCACCAUCCUCAUCUGGACGCUGGCCUGCUGCUGUUUUACAGGAUGCAGCGGUCAGGUGACUGUGACUCAGCCUGCAGUAGAGACAUCUGCUCCAGGAUCCACUGUCACUAUCAGCUGUACGACCAGCCGGGAUGUAGGAGGUUGGUGCAGUGGGUUUUGUAUGGCCUGGUAUCAGCAGAAAUCUGGACAAACUCCAAAGCUCCUGAUUAGAUCAGGAAGCACAAGACAUUCAGGAACAGCAGCUCGGUUUAGUGGCAGUGGAAGGAGCUCUGACUUCACUUUGACCAUCAGUGGAGUUCAGACUGAAGAUGCAGCAGUUUAUUACUGUCAGAGUGAACAUGGUGGUGGUGUGUUCACACAGUGA